rnacentral:rRNA from 1 species
UGCCAGCAGCCGCGGUAAUACAUAGGGGUCAAGCGUUGUCCGGAUUUAUUGGGCGUAAAGAGCUCGUAGGCGGUUCAACAAGUCGGUCGUAAAAGUUUAGGGCUCAACCCUAAAAUGUCGAUCGAUACUGUUGUGACUAGGAUACGGAAGAGGGAAGUGGAAUUUCCAGUGUAGAGGUGAAAUUCGUAGAUAUUGGAAAGAACACCAGUGGCGAAGGCGGCUUCCUGGUCCGAUACUGACGCUGAGGUGCGAAAGCGUGGGGAGCAAACAGGAUUAGAUA